AUUAGAUACCCUGGUAGUCCACGCAGUAAACGAUGAAUACUAGCUGUUCGGGGCAAAUGAGCCUUGAGUGGCACAGCGAAAGCGUUAAGUAUUCCACCUGGGGAGUACGCCGGCAACGGUGAAACUCAAAGGAAUUGACGGGGGCACGCACAAGCGGAGGAACAUGUGGUUUAAUUCGAUGAUACGCGAGGAACCUUACCCGGGCUCAAACGCAGCAGGAAUACUUUUGAAAGGAGGUAGCUCUACGGAGCCUGCUGCGAGGUGCUGCAUGGUUGUCGUCAGCUCGUGCCGUGAGGUGUCGGCUUAAGUGCCAUAACGAGCGCAACCCCUAUCGACAGUUGCUAACAGGUAAAGCUGAGGACUCUGUCGAGACUGCCGGCGCAAGCUGUGAGGAAGGCGGGGAUGACGUCAAGUCAGCACGGCCCUUACGUCCGGGGCGACACACGUGUUACAAUGGCAGGUACAGCGGGAAGCCAUGCGGCGACGCAGAGCAGAACCCGAAAACCUGUCUCAGUUCGGAUUGGAGUCUGCAACCCGACUCCAUGAAGCUGGAUUCGCUAGUAAUCGCGCAUCAGCCACGGCGCGGUGAAUACGUUCCCGGGCCUUGUACACACCGCCCGUCAAGCCAUGGAAGCCGGGGGUACCUGAAGUACGUGACCGCAAGGAGCGUCCUAAGGUAAAACCGGUGACUGGGGCUAAGUCGUAACAAGG
rnacentral:rRNA from 1 species